AUACAAUGAUGAAAGCAUAGUUCAGCUGAUAAUCUAUGAUGAAUUCUCAGCAUUGUCUUUCGCUCCUAUCUGAUGUAUCC
rnacentral:snoRNA from 1 species